rnacentral:rRNA from 1 species
GGUUAAGCGACUAAGCGUACACGGUGGAUGCCCUGGCAGUCAGAGGCGAUGAAGGACGUGCUAAUCUGCGAUAAGCGUCGGUAAGGUGAUAUGAACCGUUAUAACCGGCGAUUUCCGAAUGGGGAAACCCAGUGUGAUUCGUCACACUAUCAUUAACUGAAUCCAUAGGUUAAUGAGGCGAACCGGGGGAACUGAAACAUCUAAGUACCCCGAGGAAAAGAAAUCAACCGAGAUUCCCCCAGUAGCGGCGAGCGAACGGGGAGGAGCCCAGAGCCUGAAUCAGUGUGUGUGUUAGUGGAAGCGUCUGGAAAGGCGCGCGAUACAGGGUGACAGCCCCGUACACAAAAAUGCACAUGCUGUGAGCUCGAUGAGUAGGGCGGGACACGUGGUAUCCUGUCUGAAUAUGGGGGGACCAUCCUCCAAGGCUAAAUACUCCUGACUGA